rnacentral:rRNA from 1 species
ACGAGUGGCGGACGGGUGAGUAACGCGUAGGAAUCUGCCCAAUAGUGGGGGGACAACCCGGAGAAAUCCGGGCUAAUACCGCAUACGCCCUACGGGGGAAAGGAGGGGAUCUCUUCGGAGACCUUUCGCUAUUGGAUGAGCCUGCGUCGGAUUAGCUUGUUGGUAGGGUAACGGCCUACCAAGGCGACGAUCCGUAGCUGGUCUGAGAGGACGAUCAGCCACACUGGGACUGAGACACGGCCCAG